CCCAUCCCAUAAGGGGUAUCGUGGUUGUACAUGUAAGGUUGGAGUAACGGACGCAACUUAAACCAAUUCGUUUUCGAAAACCACACACUCAAUAGCCUCAUUGUAACACUUCUUUCUCAAGUGGCUACCUAGCUUACAUCAUCUCCCUCAUGCAUUAGUGGCACCCGACGGGUUUCGUAAAACCUUUGAAAUCACCCGCCUUUACCAUCACCAUGCAUAUACUCAAUCCCAUGCGUAGCACUAAU
rnacentral:lncRNA from 1 species